rnacentral:rRNA from 1 species
UACGGAGGGAGCUAGCGUUGUUCGGAUAUACUGGGCGUAAAGCGCACGUAGGCGGCGCCGUAAGUCAGGGGUGAAAUCCCGGAGCUCAACUCCGGAACUGCCUUUGAAACUGCGGUGCUAGAAUCCUGGAGAGGCGAGUGGAAUUCCGAGUGUAGAGGUGAAAUUCGUAGAUAUUCGGAAGAACACCAGUGGCGAAGGCGGCUCGCUGGACAGGUAUUGACGCUGAGGUGCGAAAGCGUGGGGAGCAAACAGG